GACAAACGCUGGCGGCGUACCUAAGACAUGCAAGUCGAACGGAACUUUUCGCCUUCGGGCGAGGAGUUUAGUGGCGGACGGGUGAGUAACGCGUAGGAACCUGUCGCACAGUGGGGGAUACCGCUGGGGAAACCGGCGCUAAUACCGCAUGUGAUCAGCGAUGAUGAAAGCCGGGUACCCACGCAAGUGGGUGCGCUGUGUGAGGGGCCUGCGUCCGAUUAGCUUGUUGGUGGGGUAACUGCCACCAAGGCAUCGAUCGGUAGCUGGUCUGAGAGGAUGGUCAGCCACACUGGGACUGAGACACGGCCCAGACUCCUACGGGAGGCAGCAG
rnacentral:rRNA from 1 species